AGUGAACGCUGGCGGUAGGCCUAACACAUGCAAGUCGAACGGCAGCACAGUAAGAGCUCGCUCUUACGGGUGGCGAGUGGCGGACGGGUGAGGAAUACAUCGGAAUCUACUUUUUCGUGGGGGAUAACGUAGGGAAACUUACGCUAAUACCGCGUACGACCUACGGGUGAAAGCAGGGGAUCUUCGGACCUUGCGCGAUUGAAUGAGCCGAUGUCGGAUUAGCUAGUUGGCGGGGUAAAGGCCCACCAAGGCGACGAUCCGUAGCUGGUCUGAGAGGAUGAUCAGCCACACUGGAACUGAGACACGGUCCAGACUCCUACGGGAGGCAGCAGUGGGGAAUAUUGGACAAUGGGCGCAAGCCUGAUCCAGCCAUACCGCGUGGGUGAAGAAGGCCUUCGGGUUGUAAAGCCCUUUUGUUGGGAAAGAAAAGCAGCAGGUUAAUACCCCGCUGUUCUGACGGUACCCAAAGAAUAAGCACCGGCUAACUUCGUG
rnacentral:rRNA from 1 species